GGUUUGAUUCCACAAUCCUGAAAUCAUGACCUGAGCCAAAAUCAAGAGUUGGAUGCUCAACUGACUGAGCAACAAAGGCGCCCCUUGAGCUUCUAAUUCUUUGUUAUAGGGGCUGUCCUGUGCCAUGGAGGAUGUUUAGCACCAUCCCUGGUUGCUACCCACUAGAUGCCAGUAGCACUUCUCCCCAGUUCUAACAACCAAAAGUGUCUGCAGACACUGGUAAAUGUCCAUCUAGUUGAGAACCACUGUUUUAAGCAGGGGGCGCCUGUCUGCUGCUCCAAAGGGCCAGCACAGAGCAGCCAAUGCCUGGCUCUACCAAGAUGAACUCUUACGAUUCUACCUAGACACUCAAAGAUUCAAAUGUCUUUGGUGUAGGAUUGGGCUUGAGUGGCCAAGAGCUUCGAUGAGAAUGGAAACAAGUGUAUGGAAGUCUGAAGCCUGCAAAGCAGAUCGAGUUUCAAUCCUGGGUGGCGAGUCUUCAAAGGGAAAGAACUGGUCUGUAUAUAGUUUUCUUUUCACUCCCCAUUAAAAAAAAAAUUUUUUUUUUAACAUUUAUUUAUUUUUGAGACAGAGAGAGACAGAGCAUGAACGGGGGAGGGGCAGAGAGAGAGGGAGACACAGAAUUGGAAGCAGGCUCCAGGCUCUGAGCCAUCAGCCCAGAGCCCGACGCGGGGCUCAAACUCACGGACCGCGAGAUCAUGACCUGAGCUGAAGUCGGACGCUUAACCGACUGAGCCACCCAGGCGCCCCCACUCCCCAUUUUUAAAUACCCCAGAGUGACCCGGGUCUUUUUCGUCUCCUUAUUUGACUCAAAUUGAGUCUUUAAAUAAACUAUGCUCCUCUUAGCAGCCUAAAACAUAUCUAGAGGAAAUGUGUCAUUGAAAGUGCUAUUUUGAAGUCAUGUGAUAAAUUAUCAGAGCCAGAAUCUCCUUACCCCCCUCUGAGCUCUAUGCCUUCUUUGGCUCCGUAAGAGAAUAACUUUCUUUUUUUCCCUCUCCUUCUCCUUUUGGCUUCUAAAACUGACACAGAGAAUAUGGCUUGCCCUGAGAAACUGCAUGCAGGUGGUGAGCACAUGGCAAGUGUUAGGCAGUUGUGUGUGUUGAAGUCAGUGUGGCAUGUGUGGGAAUGCAAGAAGUGACAGUAACUCCUUCAUGUGGGGAGUGGGGCUUAACAAUGGUAAUCAAGGGAGCUUUGGGGAAGAGGGGCCAUUGGUGGUCACCUUAAAUGAUAGACAGAGUUUGGAAAACAGCAAAGGAAUCAGCUAAAUUUCUGUUAGUUUCCACUCCUGUCUUACUGAUACCACCAGGAAUUCUGGUGCUCCAUGUUGCUGCCAGAGACAGUCACCCAUUCAUUCAUCAUCCAUCCAUCCAUCCAUCCAUCCAUGUAUGCAUAUAUACAUACAUCUGACAUUUUAUUCAUCCAUUUAUUCAUCCUUCCAGUGAUCCUUCCAUCUUUCCAUCCAUUUUCCCACUAUUUACCAAGGCUCUAUUCUCUGUUGCAUGCUGAAGGCCCAAAUAUUAAUAACACAAGAUUCUAGCUUUCAAGGUGCACACAGUCUAGCGGUUAGCUGAACAAUUUACGAAUAGAUAACCAUACAGAGCAGUAAGUGUAUCCUGUAGGAGUUGGUCUAAAGGAUGCCUGUAUAAAUGUCUCUGUCACCCAAAAGGCCUUACCUGACCACCCAGUCUGAAACAGGUUCUUGUUAUUAUUAUUUUUUAUAAUAUUCUUUUUCUUUUCCUUUGGAGCACUUAUCACAACUUGUUAGUGUAUAGUUAACAGUAUGUUUAUUUGCUUAAUAUCGGAAGCUCCAUGGGGGUAGGUUCUACCUCUGCUUUGGUUAUUAUUGACUAUGGAACAAGUGGUCUAUGUAUGGCAUAUAGCAAGCCUGCAGUAGACAUUCACUGAAUGAAUUAAUAAAUAAGUGCUGAUCAUGCCCACGAAGCAUCAUUUCUUGUACCAAACCAGUGGUUAUCAAAGUAUGAUCCUUGGACCAGCAGCAUCACUUACUGGAAAUGAAAAUUCUUAAAAAAAAUUUUUUUAAUGUUUAUUUAUUCUUGAGAGAGAGAGAGACAGAGCACAAGUUGGGGAGGGGCAGAGAGAGAGGGAGACACAGAAUCUGAAGCAGGCUCCAGGCUCUGAGCUGUCAGCACAGAGCCCGAUGUGGGGCUCGAACCCAGAAACUGUGAGAUCAUGACCUGAGCCAAAGUUGGUCACUUAGCAGAUUCAGCCACUCAGGUACCCCUGGAAAUUAAAAUUCUUGACCCCACCUGUUGGUUCAUAAACUGGCCCCAUACACAGAGGGCAGAGAGGCCAAAGAAACAAGCAGAUCACUCCAGAUUGUUUGGAGGCAGGUUUAAUAAGCAAGGGAACUUACUUAGGAGGCUUGGCUUUUAGGGCCACAAGAGAAAUACAUGUCUGCACCCACCCGCCUAAUCUUAAAAGUUCAUACAGAGGCAUAACCUGGGUUCAGCCUUGUCUUCAGUCCAGGUGAUCUCAACACCUUACUCUUUCAAAACUUCAUCCUUGGAACAGCUCCCGCUGUGGGAACAGUAGGCAGAGCAUACAUUCCAAGGACAGGGGAGGGGGUGAUGAGCCUCCUGCUGCCCAGGACCUCCUUGAGGGUCAACCAGCAGUCAUGUCUUCUCAAUUACCUCCUCCCACAUCACCCCAGACCAGAAUUAGAAUCAGAAACUCUGCAAUCAGCAAUCCACAUUUUAAAAAUCUUCGUGGGUGAUUUUGAUGCACACUAAAGCUUAUGAACAUUGUACUAAAUUAAUAAAUGACAAUUCUAGUCUACUUUAGACAUCUAUAGAUUUCAGUGCAGAGACCAGAGUAAUUGUGUCUGGAUUGGGGAAUACUUCAUGGAGAAAGUGAUGUUUUCAAGCAAGCCUUGAGCUAGAUGAGCCAGGAAAAGGCAAUUCAGGUGGAUUAGCCUGGUGUAUAACCAAAGGUGUGGAUUAGCCCUUAUAGGCCUUUGAAGAGACCUAUAAGUAGUUCUGCAUGGCUGGGGAUGGCAUGAGAUGAGGAUGGAGUUGUAGGCAGGGGUCUUGAAAGCCCAGUUUGGAGCGAGGAGGUAACACAUUCCCCAUCUCCCUCCCCUUCCUACAGCUGUCAAGACUGGCCUGAGUCAGACUUCCCUGAACUCACUUCCCACCUCUUCCCGCCUUUCUCUUCCUUCCCUCCUUCCCCUCCUCCCUCUGCUCUCAACUCCUCCCUUCCCCUGGGGGUGAGACCGCCUGGCUCCGAGGCCAACUCCACCCCUCCCCCACCUGGCCAGCCCACUGACGUAAGCUUGGCCAGGCGGGGCGUGUCUGGUUUGCAGCUUUGGAGCCUGGCCUAGCUGCCUCCCUCACUGCUCCUGGCUUUGUGGGAAAGCCUGGGAUGCUGGUGUGCUCUAGGAGCUUAUCUGGGGGUUCCAGGGCUCAAGAGAGUCUCUUUCUCUGGAGGCAUCUUGCUCUGGGGGAGGGAACAGUGGUGUCAGAGCCGGGGCUUCUCGGGACCCAGGCUUGCGUCAUACCACCUCCAGGGGAACUGGCUCUAGGCCCUCUCCUCCCCUAGUGACUCACAGCAGGCCUGGUCUCCAGGGUCCUCAAUCCAAUUGUGCUUGGAAGUGAUGAAGUGUGAUAACAGCCCUAAUGACAAUAGGUCCUAUGUAUCCAGCUCUUAGUGUGUUGGCACUAUGAGUCACCUACACCUUGUAACUCUCAACUUUAUGCAACCCAAUAAUAUUUUUCAAUGCCAUUUUUAGCAUUCAUAGAUAAUAUAGCCAACCUGCAUCACAGUUUCAUAAUAUUAAACUAAAAAAUGCCUCAUAAUUUAAAGGCGGAAAUAAAAGGUGUUUAGAAUACAAGAAUAUAUAUUUUUUGCUUGCUUGGGCAGCACAUAUACUAAAAUUGGAACAAUACAGAGAAGAUUAGCAUGGCCCCUGUGCAAGGACAACAUGCAAAUUUGUGAUGAUAGCACGUAGCCUGCUUAGGAUUCCCUCUCUCCCUCUCUCUGUCUCUGUCUCUGUCUCUCUCUCUCUCGGCCUUCUCCUUAUCAAAAUAAAUAAACUUUUGGAGCUUCUGGGUGGCUCAGUCGGUUAAGCGUCCGACUCUUGAUUUCAGCUCAGGUCAUGAUCUCACCGUGUGUGAGUUCCAGCCCUAUGUCAGGAUCUGCACUGACAGUGCACAGCCUGCUUGGGAUUCUCUCUCUCUUUCUCUGUCUCUCUCUCUCUCUGCCCCUCCCUCCCUGCCCCUCUCUCCCAAAAUAAAGGAAUAAACAUUAUAUGGGGUGCCUGGGUGGCUCAGUCGGUUAAGCAUCUGACUUCAGCUCAGGUCAUGAUCUCGCCGUCCUUGAGUUCAGGCCCCGAGUCAGGUUCUGUGCUGACAGCUCAGAGCCUGGAGCCUGUUUCAGAUUCUGUGUCUCCCUCUCUCUCUGCCCCUCCCCCACUCACGCUCUGUCUGUCUCUGAAAAAUGAAUAAACCUUUAAAAAUUUUUUUAAAAAUAAAAAAAAGAAAUAAACAUUAUAAAUAAAUAAACAGACUUAAAAAAAGAUUUGUGAGGGGCACCUGGGUGGCUUAGUCAGUUAGGUAUCUGACUUUGACUCAUGUCAUGGUCUCCCAGUUCGCGAGGGCAAGCCCCACAUUGGGCUUGCUGCUGUCAGCACAGAACCGGCUUCAGAUCCUCUAUUCUCCUCUCUCUCUGCUCCUCUUCCACUUGUGCUCUCUCUCUCAAAAAUAAAUAAACAUUAAAAAUAGUUUGUGAAAUGUUCAAUAUGGAAAUGCUUGGACAGACCCGGCUGGCAGAUAUAAUGAAGCAGCCAUCCCCUGUAAAUGGGCAACAACUACAAACGCAGGCUGUUACACCUAUGUUACAUUAUUGGCUCCAAUAGCAACCACCAGCACCGUUGCCAUUCAAUCAUGAUUUCUGCAAUGGUGAACUUCCCUGCUAAAGUUCCAAAUAAAACAGAAUCCAAUCUUCCCUUGAUUGACACAGUGCUCCCCUGUCUUUUGUUUGCCCCUCCAGAUCCAUUCUCCCCCACUUCUCUAUCCCGCUGUUGGCCCUGGGAGCCUGUCACAACCACCACACUCUUGGCCUCUGAUUUCCUGUUGGGUUUGGCCAAUGAAAGACAGGAGAUGGAAUUAGGGAGGGGAAGGAGAUUGGGGUUUUUAUUUUUCUGCCUACCUCCUAUCUAUACCUUCAUCUUAAAGUCACUGUUCUCAGGGUGGCUACAGAGGGUUGAAUGAGGGCCCCCCCCAAAAGCUGUCUGUGGGGCAACCUGAUAUUGUGGAGGCCAGCAGCACAGGUGGUGAAAGAAUUCACCGAAGGCAGAACAAAGGAGAAAGAAGUCUAUUGAAUAAGUUGCAAGGGAAGCAGCAGGCAGGACAGCAAAGAGGCUGUGGUACGGGGCUGUAGUUAAGGGGGAAGGUGAGGAGGUAUGCAAACAUACAGAACUGUCCCCUUUUGAUACCUGUGCCUGUGUGUAAGUAGUAAGUAGCCCAUUGGUCAGCUAGGGCCCCUGGAUGUUUUGAAGUCGGUCGCCUACUGGGCCUGUUUGCUUUCAGCCCGGUGGUCACUGUGGGCCCUUUUACCUUACCUUUUUCCAUUGCUCAAGCCUGUUACCUAAAAGUGGCCUCGCCAAUGUCCACAUUCUAACUUCUGGAACCUGUGCAUGUAACCUUAUUUGGAGAAAGGAUCUGUGCAGAUGUAAUUAAGGCUCUUGAGAUGUGAUUGCCCUAGAUGAUCUGGAUGGACCCUAAAUUCAAAGACGAGUGUCUUCAUAAGACACAGAAGAGAAGACACAGAGAAGAGAUGGCCAUGUAAAGAUGGAAGCAGAGACCGAAGUGAUGCAGACAACCAAGGAACACUGGGGGCCCCCAGAAGCUGGAAGAGGCCAGGAAGCAUUCUCCCGUGGGGUCUUUGGAGGCACUGUGGCCUUGAUGUUGCCUUGAUUUCAGACUUUUGACCUUGAGAAUGGGCCUCAGUUUCUUCAUUUGUCAGAUGGUUUUGGAAGCUCAUCCCUCGUAGCUGAAUGAUGGCCAGAUGUAAGAGGAGAAGUAGAGUGCUGGUUGGAAGAAAUCCUGGAGAGAGCUGCUCCCACCUCCUAUCUGACUUUGCCCAACAGCUCUCCAGACUCCACUUUCCACCUUCUGCAGCCAGGAAAGCCCAGCAGAUUCUCCUGGUCGUUGAGGAGGCCUUCUCUGUGAAGCUCAAGUUUCAGUGUACAUUAGAGCCGGGAAGCUCCACUUCCUAGAAUUCCUUGCAGCUGGCAUUCCAAAUGUGGUUUAGAAACUGCCAAUUAAAUGAACUUACAUGAGACUGGAUCCUGGAACUAAGAGGGGGAGAGGCAGCAGACAGACUGCCACGUGCUGUGCCUCAUUUGAAUGUAUCUGGAGUUUUGGAAGCUUGACCACCCUACAUUCUCCUACAAAUGGACCUCCAGAGCUUGUUUGGAGAGGAGCGCAGCUACUCCUAUACCCUUGAUGGAAGGCCGAUCCUCUAUCCGGGAAGGCCUACCGAGCCCCGGGCCGGAACGCCGCCGCGUCCCCCCACCCAUCAAAUCAGCAACCAGCGUCUCUCUGCGCCACCGCGUGUAGGCCCAGGCCCGUACCCCAGCCCUUCAGCACCGGAGGAAGUGGUGGCGCCUCUGGAGGGCAGCCAGGAGGAGGAGGAGGGGUGAGUAAGAGGAGGAGGAGGCGGCGGCGCGGCUGGGUAGCAACCGAAGCCACAGGGCAAGGGCUCGGGAGGAGGGCGGUGUGGGAACCCGACCGCUCAGCGCCGCGCCCCGGGGCAGCCAGCAGCGCUUGGAGACGGUCCCGCCCCCUGCAGCGCCCCGCCUCCCGAGUCCAGGCCCGCGCACCGCGGCUCCGCCCCAGAGGCCCCGCCCCCCCGUUCCAGUCCCGAAAACCCCGCUCCAA